rnacentral:rRNA from 1 species
UACGUAGGGGGCGAGCGUUGUCCGGAUUUAUUGGGCGUAAAGAGCGUGUAGGCGGUUCGGUAAGUCUGUCGUGAAAUCCUGAGGCUCAACCUUGGACGUGCGAUGGAUACUGCCGGGCUAGAGGAUGGUAGAGGCGAGUGGAAUUCCCGGUGUAGCGGUGAAAUGCGCAGAUAUCAGGAGGAACACCGGUGGCGAAGGCGGGUCUCUGGGCCGAUACUGACGCUGAGGAGCGAAAGCAUGGGUAGCGAACAGG